AUCAAUCCAACAACUGCUGUUCGUUGUCGAUUUAUAAGAAGAUUUUCUACACGAUCGGACAGUCAAAAAUGAAUCCAUCAUGAGAUCCGAUGGCUGAGGAUGCUCCCGACUAAGAAUAAGAGAUUAUCAGUGUGAUCUGACAGUCUAGAACCAAUCCCAGGCAUGAUCGAACGGUUGUGGUUCGAUCUGACUUUAAUAAGGAUUAAAACUAGGGAUUUUGGGC
rnacentral:lncRNA from 1 species